UUAUGUUCCAAAAAUAUUUGCUUUUAAUAUACUUGAAGAAACAGCAAAGAUGAGGGAAGCGUGUAAGACGUAAUCCAAAAAUUAGCUAUGCUGCUCAACACGCUGCAACAAAUGAAUAGAAAAAUGCUAAGUGCUCAUAGAAAACCACAAAGUACUUAAGCUGUAAUGAAAGAAAUCUCUUGAGUACCUGGAAAUAGGUGUUUUGAAAUGAAAUUUAGUGUAAGAAUUGAUGAGAAUUUUGAUGAGCUGCUUGAUGAGAAGUGUGUUUUUAUAAGAACGAACAAUAUUUGUGGACUUGGGUUGAAAAGAAUUCGGAAAAUGUGUGUUUCCCAAUGCCCACCUAAUUGUGAUGUCGUUCCUGAUAGUUACAGUCACCUGUAAACUACAGUCAAAGUCUAACAGUAGUUAACAGCAGCAAUUUUCAGAAAUGUUUUAUACAUCUGUGUGAUAUUAUUCACAAAAACUCCUUCGAAACUAGUAGAAUUUUCUACCAACUAAUUUGACAGCAAAACGAUACCACUUGGCAUUCAGAAUAACCAAACAAAAUCAUCAAAUCUCAAUGCAGCUCUGUGCCUUUGUUUACAUUCGCGUUGUUGUGACAAAAAAGCUGCGAACAGGUGUAGCAAAAGGACAACAUAUUUUAAACAAGUGUAAUAUUGUUUAAUUUAAAAGUAAUUUAAGAGUGUUAAUUAGUGAAAUUCGGUAAUUUAAGUGUUUUUAGUGUUGAUUGAGGGCGGUGAGAAGUGUUUUUCGCGAGUUCGGCAAAUGUUUUGUGCGUGUUAUCGUUUUUGCUCGUUUUGUAUGGCACCACGUGGCGCGAUCUUUUUUAAAAUAAAGCGUAAUAAUGAUAAGUGUAAUAAAUAUGAGAAAAAAGUGUGUGUGAGUGUAAAUAAUUUGUGAAAAGUGUUUUAAGUGUAGUGCAAGUUGUGGAAAAUUGGAAAGUUUGGAGUAAAGUGCGCCGUUGCAGUAAAAAGUCUGCGAGUGCUUGUGUGAUCACGGGCCGCUGCAGCAGCGUUAGGAUCAGAUACUGCCGUGUUUUGCAAAGUGUCUUUCGGUCGGGCGCGUGCAACAAUAAUAUUAUAUCGCAAACGGAAAUCCACUUUACAACCCGCUAUGUCCGACAAGAAUUAAUCAAAUCCUUAAUUGAUUUCAACACAGAAUGCGUGAUUUCAAUUUGCAUAGUCAAUCGCGCUCGAAAUGUGUUUGUUUGUGCCGCGUAAGAUCACGCAUCAGCAUAAAAUUCGCUCGCGAACUGCCACAUUGCGUCCAGCAAACGGUUUUAACCGUUGCCGCGGCGAUAAAAACAAAAACAAGUGCUAUAAUUUUCACUGCCGUCGUAACAUUUCAAGUUUGACUGCCCGACAUUUCCCAUCGUUCGCGACGCACGCAAGACGCAUCUUUCAUUUCGGGAGCCACAGAAGCCGCCUAAAUGCGCCUGUCACAGACAUUUACUUUUCUGUCUCCGUAUAAACCGUUAUACCACUUCCACUUACCAAUCGCGCCCACACGCAAGAAAAAGCUGCCGUGUGUGGGAUCACUGUGGGUUGUCUUGCGUUUGCGUACAUUCUUCGUGGUGACAGCGACCUCGGCUUCAGCUUGUGAAUCCUAUAUCGAUAACUUUCACAUAUAGUAUGCAUUGAACAAUCG